ACCAACUUUAAAAAAAAGAAAAAGGGCCCCCGUGGCCCAGUGGGUAGAGUGAUGCUCUUGGAGUUUGGCGUGAGGGAAAUGAGGGGCGCGUAGGUUCGAACCCCCCUCUCGGAACUCACAAAAACCUUCAAGGAGCAUCCCUCCAUCACCAUGUGUGCCUCAAACACACAGGCACGGUGGUGGAGCUGCCCACGGGGAGGAGGGGAGGUGAGUGCGCAGCACCUCCCUACCCUCCCCAGGGGAGGAAGGCACCGCCUUACCUCCCCCGGGAGAGCAAGGGAGGUGAGUGCACAGCGCUUCCCUUCUCUCCCCACCUAACCCUGGCAAGUCUACGGACUACCAGGCAAAAAAAAAAAAAUAAAUAAAUAAAAAUAAAGGUGAGUGCAUAGCACUUCCCUUCUCUCCAGCUAAAAGAAAAAUAAAAAAUAAAGAUGAGUGCAUAGCACUUCUCUUCUCUCCAGCUAGAAGAAAAAUAAAAAUUAAAGGUGAGCGCAUAGCACUUCCCUUCUCUCCCCCACCUUCCCGGCAAAAAAAAAUAAAAAAAUAAAAUAAAUAAAUAAGAAAUAAAGGAGAGUGCAAAGAAUUAAAAAAAUAAAGGUGAGUGCAUAGCACUUCCCUUCUCUCCACCUACCCGGCAAAAAAAUAAAUAAAUAAAAAUAAAGGUGAGUGCAUAGCACUUCCCUACCACUUCCCUACCUGACACUGGAAAGUCUACGGACUACCAGGCAAAAAAAAAAAAAAAAAGGAAGGGAGGUGAGUGCACAGCACCUCCCUUCCACUCCCCGGGGGAGACCAAGAGAAGUGAGUGAGUGCACAGCACUUCCCUUCUCUCCCCACCUAAGCCUGGCUAGUUGACGCACUACCAGGCAAAAAAGAAAAAAAAAAAAAAAAGGAAGGGAGGUGAGUGCACAGCACCUCCCUUCCACCCCCGGGGAGAGCAAGAGAAGUGAGUGCACAGUACUUCCCUUCUCUCCCCACCUAAGCCUGACUAGUCGACGCACUACCAGACAAAAAAAAAAAAAAAAAAAAAAAAAAAAAAAAAAAAAAAAAGGAAGGGAGGUGAGCGCACACCACCUCCCUUCCACCCCCCGGUGAGAGCAAGGGAGGUGAGUGUACAGCACUUCCCUUCUCUCCCCACCUAAGGCCUGGCUAGCCGACGCACUACCAGGCAAAAAUGAAAAAUAAAAAAGGAAGGGAGGUGAGUGCACAGCACCUCCCUUCCACCCCCCCAGGUAGAGCAAGAGAAGUGAGUGCACAGCACUUCCCUUCUCUCCCCACCUAAGCCUGGCUAGUGGACGCACUACUAGGAAAAAAUGAAAAAUAAAAAAGGAAGGGAGGUGAGUGCACAGCACCUCCCUUCCACCUCCCGGGGAGAGCAAGAGAAGUGAGUGCACAGCACUUCCAUUCUCUCCCCACCUAAGCCUGGCUAGUCGACGCACUACGAGGCAAAAAAAAAAAAAAAAAAGGAAGGGAGGUGAGUGCACAGCACCUCCCUUCCACCCCUGGGGAGACCAAGAGAAGUGAGUGCACAGCACUUCCCUUCCCUCCCCACCUAAGCCUGACUAGUCGACGCACUACCAGGCAAAAAAAAAAAAAAAAAAAAAAAAAUGGAAGGGAGGUGAGCGCACACCACCUCCCUUCCACCCCCCGGUGAGAGCAAGGGAGGUGAGUGCACAGCACUUCCCUUCUCUCCCCACCUAAGGCCUGGCUAGCCGACGCACUACCAGGCAAAAAUGAAAAAUAAAAAAGGAAGGGAGGUGAGUGCACAGCACCUCCCAUCCACCCCCCGGGUAGAGCAAGAGAAGUGAGUGCACAGCACUUCCCUUCUCUUCCCACCUAAGCCUGGCUAGUCGACCCACUACCAGGCAAAAAUGAAAAAAAAAAAAAAAAGGAAGGGAGGUGAGUGCACAGCACCUCCCUUCCACCCCCCGGGGAGAGUAAGAGAAGUGAGUGCACAGCACUUCCCUUCUCUCCCCACCUAAGCCUGGCUAGUCGACGCACUACGAGGCAAAAAAAAAAAAAAAAAAAAAAAAGGAAGGGAGGUGAGUGCACAGCACCUCCCUUCCACCCCUGGGGAGAGCAAGAGAAGUGAGUGCACAGCACUUCCCUUCUCUCCCCACCUAAGCCUGGCUAGUCGACGCACUACGAGGCAAAAAAAAAAAAAAGGAAGGGAGGUGAGUGCACAGCACCUCCGUUCCACUCCUGGGGAGAGCAAGAGAAGUGAGUGCACAGCACUUCCCUUCUCUCCCCACCUAAGCCUGGCUAGUCGACGCACUACCAGGCAAAAGAAAAAAAGAAAAAAAUAAAGGAAGGGAGGUGAGUGCACAGCACCUCCCUUCCACCCCCCGGUGAGAGCAAGAGAAGUGAGUGCACAGCACUUCCCUUCUCUCCCCACCUAAGCCUGACUAGUCGACGCACUACGAGCCAAAAAAAAAAAAAAAAAGGGAAGGGAGGUGAGUGCACAGCACCUCCCUUCCACCCCCAGUGAGAGCAAGAGAAGUGAGUGCACAGCACUUCCCUUCUCUCCCCACCUAAGGCCUGGCUAGCCGACGCACUACCAGGCAAAAAUGAAAAAAAAAAGGAAGGGAGGUGAGUGCACAGCACCUCCCUUCCACCCCCCGGGUAGAGCAAGAGAAGUGAGUGCACAGCACUUCCCUUCUCUCCCCACCUAAGCCUGGCUAGUCGACGCACUACGAGGCAAAAAAAAAAAAAAAUAUAUAUAUAUAUAUAUAUAUAUAUAUAUAUAUAUAUAUAUAUAUAUAUA